rnacentral:rRNA from 1 species
GAUGAACGCUGGCGGCGUGCUUAACACAUGCAAGUCGAACGGAAAGGCCCUGCUUUUGUGGGGUGCUCGAGUGGCGAACGGGUGAGUAACACGUGAGUAACCUGCCCUUGACAUUGGGAUAACUUCAGGAAACUGGGGCUAAUACCGGAUAGGAGCUCCUGCUGCAUGGUGGGGGUUGGAAAGUUUCGGCGGUUGGGGAUGGACUCGCGGCUUAUCAGCUUGUUGGGGGGGUAGUGGCUUACCAAGGCUUUGCCGGGUAGCCGGCCGGGGAGGGUGACCGGCCACCUUGGGUCUGAGAUACGGCCCAGACUCCUACGGGAGGCAGCGGUGGGGAAUAUUGCACAAUGGGCGGAGGCCUGAUGCAGCAACGCCGCGUGCGGGAUGACGGCCUUCGGGUUGUAAACCGCUUUCGCCUGUGACGAAGCGUGAGUGACGGUAAUGGGUAAAGAAGCACCGGCUAACUACGUG